rnacentral:lncRNA from 1 species
UUUUCCCGUGCGGUUUCAUUCAGAAAAUGUCCGACAGUAGGUUAAUGUAAAGUAUGUGUGAUAGAAAAGCGUUUGUCGUCUUUUUUGUUACGUGGUAUAUUAGUUUGUUUGUUUUUUGUCCAAAUGUAAGGAGUAAAAAGGAAGAGAUGUUACCGAUUUCUGUGUCACUGGUGUCAGAAAAUGUUUUUUCACAAAAGCCAUGCUGAGCGACACCAGUUUUAUCACUGUAAAAAGAGACCAGCAGGUCUGCAGAAACGGUUUGUGUGUGAAAUUUGCAAAAAAGAGUAUUGUCGACCUGAAGUGUUGGAACAGCACAAGAUAAUGUACCACUAGGACAACAGAGGUUAUCUCAAGCCCUGCACUGCAGCUCUAAAGUUGUAGCUAAUACUUUACAGAAUAGCAGAGCUGCUUCUGUGUGUGUGAUGUUAGAGAUAUAUAUAUAUAUUUACAAUCACAUUUAGGUUUGUAAACAUGAGAUGCUUUUUAUGAUAAACAAAAUAUUCAGGUCAGAUUUUCAUGGGGGAAUAUAAGAAUUUUUAUAUAUUUUAAAGAUAGUAGAUAUUGUUAAAAUCCAGAUAAUGUCAAGUGUUCUAGUCCUGAUUUGUGUGUGUUAAGUAAACAAAUUGUACACUAUGUAGUUUUAUUUUAAUAAAGCAGUGUCUUAAAAUUGUUAAUGUGUUUAGUAUGUGCUGGUUGUUACACAUUACUGUGUUUGCUAUGUGCUGGUUAAGUCGUGAUAUAAAUAAUUUAUUUGAGCUUAUGGAAGUUUGUUUUUUUUAAUCUAAGCAUAAGCACUCAUCCUGAUUUGUUGAGUAAUUGUAAGUUUGAGUCAUGUUGGAGUGAAUGACCCAACCUGUAAAAUCAUACUUGUUAACAAAAUGCAUAGUAUAGUUUUAAUCUUAUAUGAAAACAUAUAAAUUGAUGUCUUGUGUGACAAUACAUCACAGUAACACUGUAACAAAUUUUUCUGUACUGGCUAUAUAUGGAUUUCCAGUCAGAAGAAUAUAACAUUAGGACUAUACACUUUGUUUGCUAUGUGCCACUGCCAACAAGGCCUUUUAUUCAGUACUAGAGCUCAGCUGGUUAUGCAACACACAAAACCUCAGUUGAAAUGUUAUUUAUACCAGUUUGGUAUAAGAUAUCGAUUAUUGUGGUACAUAAGGCCUUACACUGGAGAACAGAUCACAAUUAUGUGGCAUAAGGCAUUAUACAGCAUGAUAAUUGAUAGCUUAUAGAUUACAAACUAAACAUUUUAAAAGUGUGAAAUUAAGUUCUGUACACUGUAAUUUGACUUUAAUUUCAUUUUAUAAUAUUCAAAGUGAAAGUUUUCCCACAACUGUGGUUCGAUCUGUAUGUUCUAAUUUGGGUGUUCUUGAAGAAGAGAGUUGAUUUCAUUUUUGAAAGAAUUUGUUUGUGUUGUUUGAUAUAUGGCUCUGUAAUGAAUGUACUUACAGUAGAAUCGUAAGCAUGUGAAAUUAGCGGUACAAAUUUUCCUACUGGCUAAGGGUUUACACCAAUUGUAUCUCAUGAAUGAAGACAGUAUUAGCAUAUGAACUGCUGCCACAUAAGUAAAGUUUGUCUUAAUGAAUAUUUGAAACAAGGGACAUAACAGCAAGUCUUGUUAUGCAUGUUUUACAAUAGAGCUUAAGUUUUUGUAUGGCAUGAGUGUUUGAUGUUUCAUAAAAUUUGCAACUGUUAUUUAAGAGGUAGGCUAUUCACUUUAUGACUCCAUUCACUACUUUUGUUCAUCUUGAGUUGAAAUAGACUUUGCUUUGUGAGUGUUAAAAGUUACUUAAUGAUGAAGUAUGGGUUAACGUGGUGUAAUGGGCUGUACACUUCCACAAGGAUAAACUGUUAUACAACAACAUUACUGAUGCUAGCAACAGCAUCAGUAACUUACCCAAAAGUCUUGCUUGUUUCAGAAAAGAUAACUUGUUGUACAAAAUGUUGUAACUAUGAAGACAACAUGAAUAGUUUAAUCGAGGAGGCUGAUUCAUUACCAACCUUGUUUAAAUGUACUUAUGGAAAUAAAGGAAAUAUUUCAAAACAUGUAUUAAAUUGACUUAUUUUGACAAUUUUUUUUUACUUUUAUUGGUGAUUGUGAGAAUUAGAUGAUAAGCAAGUUACGUGUACUUGAUAAAAUAUUUUUUGACUUUGAAAUUUUCAUGGUUUGAUAUUCAAUUUGAUCUGAGAGAAAAUUAAAUCGGACGUUUUUCAGAGAAUUGUUUUGCCUUAAAACUAAUGAAUAUACACUACUGUUAGACAACAUCUUGGAUCAUUAGUCACCCUCAGAAGAGCAAGAAAAUGUACAGAUUUCAUAGAAAUUUCAAGUUUUUAAGGACUGCAACAACCUGGAGUGAUGACCCGAGACAUAAUUCACUCCACUACUCCAGGACAAUGCAGUCUGUAUGAACUUUGUAUGUACUAUAGUGUAAAUCUCUUAAAAUGAGAAUUAAAUUUGUGUAACUGUGACAUUGGUUUGUUGUUUUUUUUCAAGUGUAAUGCUAAGCAACACAAAACAGUUUUAUAGUUGUGUUAAUAACACGAUAGUUGUGUUAUUAACAGAUAAUGGUUGUUUUUAUCACUGGUGCACAGUUUGAUAGGUGUGUUAAUAACAGAUAAUGGAUGUUUUUAUCACUGGUGCCACAAUAAAUUGUUUUUGCCAAGGUUAUGCAGAACAAUUCCAACUGUACCAUCAUAAUAGGAAACCUCCAGGUUUGGCAAAAGAAAGAUUCAACUUUGACAUUUGUCUGAAGGAAGGAUUGCUGUCAUCCUGAGGUGUUUCAACAUUACAGGUUGGCACAUAGCAUGAAAACAAAAGGAACUUCCUGAUAAUGUUAAAUGCAUUUGAGUUACUAAACACCGUUUGUUGUGUUUUAUCUCAGCUCAGACACCUGUACUUGUUGAGAGCUUAUAGUAGUAAAUAUUGCUAACAAAUUGGAAGAGUAUCUCAAAAUCAUUGGACAAUAGACCAGAUCUCAAAUGCAGUGUUUGUCUGAAGACUUUCAGUCGUGCUGAUGUUGUGAGGAGGCACAUGCUUCAACAUUUUGUCUCUCCUCCAAAAUAUGGCUGUGAUGUAUGCUUCAAAAUGUUUACCAGGAAAGACUACUUGAAAUACCACAGGAACAGAGUUUGUGGAAAGUAUGAAGCAAUUCAUCAACAAGGUUAUACCAGCUUGCCAGGAGAGAGACUUUAAAUUAAUUUGUGUUACAAACUGGGUAUAGUAAUAUCCACCAAUUACCUUAUAUAUAUAAUAUAAACCAGAGUAUUCCAUCUCUUUGUCUUGUGUACUAAGUUGCAUGUAGUCAUCUAACCCGAUUUUAAAGAAACUUAGUAGAGGAACUUGGGUUGACCACUCAAAUAUUGAGUGUCAAAUGAUAAGCUCAAAGAAUGAUUAAAUUUUUGCAACCAUUUCAUUUCUAAUGUUUUAAUGCAGUGAAUGAUGGCUCAACCGAGCAUAUAGGUCAGUAGCGAAGUAUAGGAAACCAACGUGGAAGGGAGCCAGCUCUAACAUUUAUUUGUAACAAUACUUUUUAAGCCAAACAUUACAAGGUAUACCUGCCAGUUAGGGAAUAUCCAGUAAUGUAAUGCUGGAAAAAAGUGGGUUUUUGGAAAAUAAAAAAAAUAUUUAAUAAACGGGAAAGAGUAUAAGAAACAUAAAAAUGUAUCAUUUGUGACUUGUUUGUCCCAUACUUUGAUCGUUCUUUUCCACUCAAAAGAAUGUUCAAAUACGUUAUUAUUACCAACUUCAAUAUUUUUAUUAUUCAAAUUAAUUUUAAUUUCUUAUUAGCACUUUCAUUAAGUAUUAAAUUAUUAAAUAUGUGCUAUGUACUCCCUGGCCCCUCAGAAUAAUUUAUUGGUGUGAAACUUUUGAUAACUCUACUAGAAUCAAUGAUAAAGUUUUUUUUAUUUGGCUUUAGAAUUAAAGAUCUCGGCAUUUAAAGACAAAACUUUCAAGUCAUUCUUCACACAAUGUUUCUAUUGUCUUUGUUUUGCAACUGUAUCUUCUAUAAAUUAUUCCAUCCUUCUUACUUAACUCAAAAUAAAAGUUACAAUGACAUUUUUUACAUUUUAUUCUGUUUUAAUUUUUGUCCUACAUAAAAUAGUUCUCACAUUUAUUUAGGCAUUGAGGAGGUUUCUGUUUUCCAUUAUUUUAAUAAUAAUAUCAGGUCUUCUACCUGUUAAUAUGGGAGUCAAUGAGACAAGAGUGCUUCAGUAAGUUCCUCUCAGUUAGACUGUGGAUAUGUUUAAUAAUAAUCUAAACACUGUACCACAUUCAGUGUAAGCAUCUAAAGGUUGUCAUAUAAACUUCUUGUUCAUAGUAAUUGAGCUUGGAAAUACAUUAUGAAUGAAUGCUUUGUGUUCACUGUUGUAAAGUGAAGCUACUUACUGUAAUUUAAGAGAGAAAAAAAAUGUGUCUGUGAGUAAUUCCUUGUUGAAGUAACUGAAAAAUCAUUUGUACUUUAUUAACUUUCUGUAUGUUGCAUAUAUUAAACACAGGAUGAUCUCCAAGGCCAGAUUAACCAAAAGGCAGAGUAGACAGUUGUUUGUGACUCUACAGCAUCAAGAGGCCCAGAGUGGUUAUGCUUGUUUUUUAAAUAGCUUUCUCAGAUAAUAUUUCAAAUUGAAAUAUGGCCUUAAUCCAGACCUGACAGUAUGAACUUGGCUAAUUAGUUUAGAAAUAAUAUGCUGUUGGGUAAAUAUUUAUGUGUUGCUAAUAUAUAUAUGUUAUGCUCUAAGUAUUUGUGUAAAUUUUAGUAACUGCUUUCUUUUUUUUAAGUCUGUUAUACAAUUAAGCACUUAUAUAUUAUUGCUGAGUUAUGAAAUUAGUGUUUAUUUUUUGGUAUCUGCAGACCAAGAGAUAUUUGUUAAAUAUAUUGAAAUUCUUUGCUAUUUAAAUCACAUAUUUAGUAUAAAACUUAAGUAUUAAACGAGGUCUUGUUUAUAAAGUAUAUGUAACUGUACCAAAAAUGUUUAAUAAAGUCACUUUUGAUCUGUGGGGAUCAGAGUUCUCUCUCGGGGAUUUAAACCGAACAAACAGUAAUUGCAGUAAGAAUUAAGAUGUAGCUUAAUAUAACAGCAGUCAAGUUUAAAUGUUUUGUAGUUGUAGGAGUAUCAAAAUUUGUUUAAGGGUUAAGCAGAAUAUAUCAUAUUCUCAUAUAGUGUGUGUCUAAAAUCAGUAUUAAUCCUGAAAUUAUGAAAUCUGAGAAUGAAGCUUUAAAAACAAUUGUGUGAAAGGUUAGUGCAUUUGUAAAAGUCCUAAUUACUGUUUGUCAUAACUUAUAUGAAGAGGUUUUUAAUAUUUGAUGAGCUUUAAAAGUGUUAAUAUUUAUUCACCACCACAAAGACAACUCGAAGAUUUUGUGCUGUUUAGCUUAAGAUGAAACUCUAAGAUGUGAAUUUU